GUUUAUUUAAAACCAACGGUAAGCUUGUUUGGCUAACAAAGGUGAAAAUUGAGAAUCGUUUUGUUGAACUCAAGUAAAAAGGCACCAGAACCAUUUCAAGCCAGUUUUGGAUGAAUCUGGUACAAAUCUUUUCUUCAAAUAAACUGACAAGGCAAUGACCAGCUGCUUAAACAAUUGUAUUUAUUGCCACAAAGUUGCAUAUAAAAAGGUUUGAGGGGUUCAUUGUAGUUAGAAAUCUCCUGCAGACUCUAAUUUUUUGUGAGGGCAGACGGUUGGCAGUUCUGAUGGAGUGGUCGUUGGAGCAGCAGUGGAUGGUGAAGCCUUAGCUGGCAUGGGUCGUGAGAAAAGGUCAAUGUCCGUUAACUGCCGCUGCUGCAAGACUUGAUUUUGCUUGAACGUGGUUGAAGCCACUUCAGUAGGUUGGCAGGGAGCCUUCGAUGGCAUGAAAGGGUUAGAGUAUUGCUGCUGAUGUUGGGGAAGCUUACAGGCAGUGGAUGAAGUUGCUUCUGUAGUGGAUGAAGUUGCUUCUGUAGUAGUGGGAGCUGCAGUAGUUUGGUAGGGAGCCUUCACUGGCAUGAAAGGGUUUCUGUAUCCUGGGUACAUGAAGUAAGAGUGCAUCAAUUCUUGCUGCUGCUGCUGCUUCAACUGUUGCUGCUGCUGCUGCUGCUGCUGCUGCUGCUGCUGCUGCUGCUGCUGCUGCUGCUGCUGCUGCAUCAACUGCUGCUGUUGCUGCUCUUGUGGGGGAAGCUUAGAGGCAGUGGAUGAAGUUGCUUCUGUAGUGGAUGAAGUUGCUUCUGUAGUGGAUAAAGUUGCUUCUGUAGUGGAUGAAGUUGCUUCUGUAGUGGAUAAAGUUGCUUCUGUAGUGGAUAAAGUUGCUUCUGUAGUGGAUAAAGUU
rnacentral:lncRNA from 1 species